UUGCAUUUUCCUGAACCCCAUCCUAGAAUAUUUCUCCAUGAUGGAUCCACCUAGUGUAGGUGCUUGCCAUCCUACUCCUAAGUGCAUACGCACCUCUUGUACAGGACAUCUAGACUGAUUCAGGCAUCCACGACAUGGGCAUUGUUGACGGUCGUUAAGUACAAAAUAUGACCAUCAAUAUACUCAAAGAAUAAAGGAGGAUUGGUAUUUCUUACGCAUAUUUGGUUUUGAAUAAUGUAGUUCCACUUGUCCUUGAAGAUUA
rnacentral:lncRNA from 1 species